GAAUGUUUUGCAGUAGCAAGAACUUUGAAAAUUGAGUUUGAUUUAAUUUGAGAAAUUGAAUUUAAGUGUGCAUUUAACUGGACCAAAUCUGAAGUUAAUUGUUGCUUGGGGACAAGCAUUAGAUUAAAUUUGGGGUUGUGAUGACUCUUUAUCAUAUGCAUAUUUUCCCACUGUUUUAGUCUUAUUUAUCCUCAAUCAUCAGUUAAAUUAAGGAUUUAUUUGAUAUAUUUUGUUGAUUUUUGUUCUUUG
rnacentral:lncRNA from 1 species